rnacentral:rRNA from 1 species
CCCUUAGAUGUUCGGGGCCGCACGCGCGCUACACUGAAGGAAUCAGCGCGUCCUUCUCCUUGUCCGAAAGGACUGGGUAACCCGCUGAACCUCCUUCGUGCUAGGGAUUGGGGCUUGUAAUUCUUCCCCAUGAACGAGGAAUUCCCAGUAAGCGCGAGUCAUAAGCUCGCGUUGAUUACGUCCCUGCCCUUUGUACACACCGCCCGUCGCUACUACCGAUUGGAUGGUUUAGUGAGAUCCUCGGAUUGGUCCCGGCGCGGCCUCUGGUCGUGCCGGAGUGCCGAAAAGAAUGUCGAACUUGAUCAUCUAGAGGAAGUAAAAGUCGUAACA